UCUCUGGUGGCUUAGUGGUUAGAGCGUCCGCCUUGAAUACGGGAGGUCGUGGGUUAUAUCCCCGGUCGAGUUAU